AUGGGGAUGGAAUGGGGAGAAGAACCGGAACCGGACCGAACCGGAACCGGAACCGAAUCGCGGGAGGGAAUGGGGAUGGGAUGGGGAGAAGAACCGGAACCGGAACCAGAACCGCGGGACUGGAAAUGGGGAACCGAACCGGAACCAGAACCGAACCGGGGGAGGGGAAAUGGGGAUGGAAUGGGGAUGGGAAUGGGGAGCCGAACCGGAACCGAACCGGAACCGGAACCGAACUGCGGGUCUGGAAAUGGGGAUGGAAUGGGGAUCCGAACCGGAACCGGAACUGGAACCAGAACCGAACCGCGGGAGGGGGAAUGGGGAUGGGAUGGGGAGAGGGAAUCGGAACCAGAACCGGAACCGGAACCGAACCGGGGGAGGGGAAAUGGGGAUGGGAUGGGGAGAAGAACCGGAACCGGAACCGAACCGCGGGACUGGAAAUGGGGAUGGGAUGGGGAGAAGAACCAGAACCGAACCGGAACCGAACCGGAAACGAAACCGAACCGCGGGAGGGAAUGGGGAUGGGAUGGGGAGAAGAACCGGAACCGAACUGGAACCGGAACCGAACCGGAACAGAACCUGGGGAGGGGGAAUGGGGAUGGGAUGGGGAGAAGAACCGGAACCGAACCGGAACUGGAACCGAACCGGGGGAGGGGAAUGGGGAUGGGAAUGGGGAGACGAACCGGAACCGAAACCGAACCGGAACCGAACAGCGGGAGGGAAUGGGGCGGGAUGGAUGGGGAGCAGAACCAGAACCGGAACCGAACCGGAACCGGAACCGAAGCGGAACCGAACCGGAACAGAACCUGGGGAGGGGGAAUGGGGAUGGGAAUGGGGAGACGAACCGGAACUGAACCGAACCGGAACCGGAACCGAACCGGAACCGAACAGCGGGAGGGAAUGGGGAUGGGAUGGGGAGAAGAACCGGAACCGGAACCGAACCGGAACAGAACCUGGGGAGGGGGAAUGGGGAUGGGAAUGGGGAACCGAACCGGAACCGAACCGGAACCGAACAGCGGGAGGGGGAAUGGGGAUGGGAUGGGGAGAGGGACCGGAACCGAACUGGAACCGGAACCGAACCGGAACAGGACCGGAGGAGGGAAUGGGGAUGGAAUGGGGAGACGAACUGGAACCGAACCGGAACCGAACCGGAACCGGAACCGAACUGCAGGAGGGAAUGGGGAUGGAGAGGGAAUUGGAACCGGAACCGGAACCGAACCACGGGACUGGAAAUGGGGAUGGAAUGGGGAUCCGAACCGGAACCGGAACCGAACCGAGGGCCUGGAAAUGGGGAACCGAACCGGAACCAGAACCGAAGUUUGGGGCUCAAAAUGGGGAUGGAAUGGGAUGGGGAUCCGAACCGGAACCGGAACCGAACCGGAACCGGAACCGAACAGCGGGAGGGAAUGGGGAUGGGAUGGAUGGGGAGACGAACCGGAACCGGAACCGAACCGGGGGAGGGGAAGUGAAUGGGGAUGGGAAUGGGGAGAGGGAAUCAGAACCGAACCGGAACCGAACCUCGGGAGUGGAAAUGGGCUGAAAAUGGGGAUCAGAACCAGAACCAAAUGGGGACUGAAAAUUGGAUCUGAAAAUACGGAACAGAACCGGAACCCAAAUAGGGACUGA
rnacentral:lncRNA from 1 species